rnacentral:rRNA from 1 species
UAGGGAAUCUUCGGUAAUGGACGAAAGUCUGACCGAGCAACGCCGCGUGAGUGAAGAAGGUUUUCGGAUCGUAAAACUCUGUUGUUAGAGAAGAACAAGGGUGAGAGUAACUGUUCACCCCUUGACGGUAUCUAACCAGAAAGCCACGGCUAACUACGUGCCAG